rnacentral:rRNA from 1 species
GCAGUCGAGCGGCAGCGGGUCCUUCGGGAUGCCGGCGAGCGGCGGACGGGUGAGUAAUGCCUAGGAAUCUGCCUGGUAGUGGGGGAUAACGUUCGGAAACGGACGCUAAUACCGCAUACGUCCUACGGGAGAAAGCGGGGGAUCUUCGGACCUCGCGCUACCAGAUGAGCCUAGGUCGGAUUAGCUAGUUGGUGGGGUAAAGGCUCACCAAGGCGACGAUCCGUAACUGGUCUGAGAGGAUGAUCAGUCACACUGGAACUGAGACACGGUCCAGACUCCUACGGGAGGCAGCAGUGGGGAAUAUUGGACAAUGGGCGAAAGCCUGAUCCAGCCAUGCCGCGUGUGUGAAGAAGGUCUUCGGAUUGUAAAGCACUUUAAGUUGGGAGGAAGGGCAUUAACCUAAUACGUUAGUGUUUUGACGUUACCGACAGAAUAAGCACCGGCUAACUUCGUGCCAGCAGCCGCGGUAAUACGAAGGGUGCAAGCGUUAAUCGGAAUUACUGGGCGUAAAGCGCGCGUAGGUGGUUCAGCAAGUUGGAUGUGAAAGCCCCGGGCUCAACCUGGGAACUGCAUCCAAAACUACUGAGCUAGAGUACGGUAGAGGGUGGUGGAAUUUCCUGUGUAGCGGUGAAAUGCGUAGAUAUAGGAAGGAACACCAGUGGCGAAGGCGACCACCUGGACUGAUACUGACACUGAGGUGCGAAAGCGUGGGGAGCAAACGGGAUUAGAUACCGUGAUACUCCACGCCGUAAACGAUGUCGACUAGCCGUUGGGAUCCUUGAGAUCUUAGUGGCGCAGCUAACGCGAUAAGUCGACCGCCUGGGGAGUACGGCCGCAAGGUUAAAACUCAAAUGAAUUGACGGGGGCCCGCACAAGCGGUGGAGCAUGUGGUUUAAUUCGAAGCAACGCGAAGAACCUUACCUGGCCUUGACAUGCUGAGAACUUUCCAGAGAUGGAUUGGUGCCUUCGGGAACUCAGACACAGGUGCUGCAUGGCUGUCGUCAGCUCGUGUCGUGAGAUGUUGGGUUAAGUCCCGUAACGAGCGCAACCCUUGUCCUUAGUUACCAGCACGUUAUGGUGGGCACUCUAAGGAGACUGCCGGUGACAAACCGGAGGAAGGUGGGGAUGACGUCAAGUCAUCAUGGCCCUUACGGCCAGGGCUACACACGUGCUACAAUGGUCGGUACAAAGGGUUGCCAAGCCGCGAGGUGGAGCUAAUCCCAUAAAACCGAUCGUAGUCCGGAUCGCAGUCUGCAACUCGACUGCGUGAAGUCGGAAUCGCUAGUAAUCGUGAAUCAGAAUGUCACGGUGAAUACGUUCCCGGGCCUUGUACACACCGCCCGUCACACCAUGGGAGUGGGUUGCUCCAGAAGUAGCUAGUCUAACCGCAAG